rnacentral:misc_RNA from 1 species
GAUGAAGAACGUAGCGAAAUGCGAUAAGUAAUGUGAAUUGCAGAAUUCAGUGAAUCAUCGAAUCUUUGAACGCACCUUGCGCCCUUUGGCCAUUCCGAAGGGCAUGCCUGUUUGAGUAUCAUGAACACCUUAACUCUUCAUGGUUUUCCGUGAUGAGCUUGGACUUUGGGGGUCUUGCUGGCCUAUGGUCAGCUCCUCUAAAAUAAAUCAGCUUGCCAGUGUUUGGUGGGUAUCACAGGUGUGAUAACUAUCUACGCUUGUGGUUUUCCACCAGGUAACCUUCAGCAGUGGAGGUUCGCUGGAGCUCACAGAUGUGUCUCUCCUCAGUGAGGACAGCUCUUUGAAUGUUUGAUCUCAAAUCAGGUAGGACUACCCGCUGAACUUAAGCAUAUCAAUAAGCGGAGGA